UACGUUCCCGGGCCUUGUACACACCGCCCGUCACACCACGAAAGUCUACUGGACCAGAAGUCAGCGGUUUUCCGCUGCCGAAGGUCUGGUCGAUGAUUGGGGUG
rnacentral:rRNA from 1 species